GAGCUUGCUCUCUUGGUGGCGAGUGGCGGACGGGUGAGUAAUAUAUCGGAACGUGCCCAGUAGCGGGGGAUAACUACUCGAAAGAGUGGCUAAUACCGCAUACGCCCUACGGGGGAAAGGGGGGGAUCGCAAGACCUCUCACUAUUGGAGCGGCCGAUAUCGGAUUAGCUAGUUGGUGGGGUAAAGGCUCACCAAGGCAACGAUCCGUAGCUGGUUUGAGAGGACGACCAGCCACACUGGGACUGAGACACGGCCCAGACUCCUACGGGAGGCAGCAGUGGGGAAUUUUGGACAAUGGGGGAAACCCUGAUCCAGCCAUCCCGCGUGUAUGAUGAAGGCCUUCGGGUUGUAAAGUACUUUUGGCAGAGAAGAAAAGGCAUCCCCUAAUACGGGAUGCUGCUGACGGUAUCUGCAGAAUAAGCACCGGCUAACUACGUGCCAGCAGCCGCGGUAAUACGUAGGGUGCAAGCGUUAAUCGGAAUUACUGGGCGUAAAGCGUGUGUAGGCGGUUCGGAAAGAAAGAUGUGAAAUCCCAGGGCUCAACCUUGGAACUGCAUUUUUAACUGCCGAGCUAGAGUAUGUCAGAGGGGGGUAGAAUUCCACGUGUAGCAGUGAAAUGCGUAGAUAUGUGGAGGAAUACCGAUGGCGAAGGCAGCCCCCUGGGAUAAUACUGACGCUCAGACACGAAA
rnacentral:rRNA from 1 species